rnacentral:rRNA from 1 species
CAGACCAUACCAGCCUAACACAUCUGAUCUCAUCUGGUCUCAAAAGCUAAGUAGGGUCAGGCCUGGUUAGAACCUGUGUAGGAAAAUGAGGAUUCCCAGAAGGACUGC